UGGUGGCGCCGGACGGGAGCAGAAGGGGAGGAGCGGCGCCGCCGACGCGAGUUCAGGUAGAGCAUACUCUGCAUCGACAAGGACUAUGUAGGUGGCGGAGAUACCGGACCCAGAGGACGAUGAAGCCAUGUUUGCCGUCUUCAGCCCGCUGGUUGACCUCAACGACAGUGGGGAUUGUAAGACACAACAACCAAGGAUCCUGCAGGCGAUUCCAUAUGGAGAUUUUGUAGUGAUAUGAAGCUUAUAACUAGAUAAGUUUGUAGAAUUUAUUCUAAAAGUGAGUAUUUGAAUAUCGUCCACCUCAAUCUAGGCUGAGAAGAUAUCAGUUUUAUAGUAUUCUUUCUCCAAGGUAAUUUUUUCACCAUUACGAACCAUCCAUUGUCCCUAUUGUGUUUGAAAUACUUUAUGAUAUUUGUGUGAGUUGCUGUAAUGUCUACAUAUUUGCAAAUGACUAGCCAAUUUGAUCAGCAGUUCAGACUUAGGGUGCUUAUUGCAUUCAAUGGAUUUCGAGGAAAGGUUAUCUCUGCAAGGAUGCAUAUAAUAGCCCUAGACGUCAGCAGCCAAAUGCAGCAACGUAGGGAAGGUUGUAACUGGUCCUGCACACAAGUGCUUAGAGAUAUCUCGAAAUCAACUACAGAUUAUUUGUGAUUUUCCCAAAGUAAAAUAGUCGACACCAGUGAACUGCUCACUCAGCUCAUCUGCCUGUG